UACAGAGGUCCCAAGCGUUGUUCGGAUUCACUGGGCGUAAAGGGUGCGUAGGUGGGUCUGUAAGUCAGUGGUGAAAUCUCCGAGCUUAACUCGGAAACUGCCAUUGAUACUAUAGGUCUUGAAUUAUCUGGAGGUAAGCGGAAUAUGUCAUGUAGCGGUGAAAUGACUUAGAUAUGACAUAGAACACCAAUUGCGAAGGCAGCUUACUACGGAUUGAUUGACACUGAGGCACGAAAGCGUGGGGAUCAAACAGG
rnacentral:rRNA from 1 species